rnacentral:rRNA from 1 species
AUUGAACGCUGGCGGCAUGCCUUACACAUGCAAGUCGAACGGCAGCACGGGUGCUUGCACCUGGUGGCGCGUGGCGAACGGGUGAGUAAUACAUCGGAACGUACCUUAUCGUGGGGGAUAACGCAGCGAAAGCUGUGCUAAUACCGCAUACGCCCUGAGGGGGAAAGCGGGGGAUCGCAAGACCUCGCGCGAUUAGAGCGGCCGAUGCCUGAUUAGCUUGUUGGUGGGGUAAAAGCCCACCAAGGCGACGACCAGUAGCUGGUCUGAGAGGACGAUCAGCCACACUGGGACUGAGACACGGCCCAGACUCCUACGGGAGGCAGCAGUGGGGAAUUUUGGACAAUGGGGGCAACCCUGAUCCAGCAAUGCCGCGUGAGUGAAGAAGGCCUUCGGGUUGUAAAGCUCUUUUGUCAGGGAAGAAACACCGGCUCUAACACAGUCCGGGAAUGACGGUACCUGAAGAAUAAGCACCGGCUAACUACGUGCCAGCCGCCGCCGUAA